UACGUAGGGGGCUAGCGUUGUCCGGAAUCAUUGGGCGUAAAGAGCGUGUAGGCGGCCCGGUAAGUCCGCUGUGAAAGUCGGGGGCUCAACCCUCGAAUGCCGGUGGAUACUGUCGGGCUAGAGUGCGGAAGAGGCGAGUGGAAUUCCUGGUGUAGCGGUGGAACGCGCAGAUAUCAGGAGGAACACCAAUAGCGAAGGCAGCUCGCUGGGACGUUACUGACACUGAGGCGCGAAAGCGUGGGGAGCGAACAGG
rnacentral:rRNA from 1 species